rnacentral:rRNA from 1 species
UAGACUGCACGUGAAUCAUCGAAUCUUUGAACGCACCUUGCGUUAUUGUGAAUUCAUGAUAGCACGUCUGUUUGAGUAUCAAUUACACCAUCUCCCCAGUGUUGGCAACAGCACUGCGUGGUUCAGUGAGUUUCAGUCUGUCGCCAGACUAAACUUUAAGGUGAUUGUUCUGGCUCUCGCUAGUUGACAGAGUUAAAUCUAUCUGACGACGCGUUCGGCCGACACACUGAGUUGCACUCACAUGCGACUCUCAAACUUUGAUCUCAAAUCAGACGAGGAUACCCGCUGAACUUAAGCAUAUCAAUAAGCGGAGG